UUGGAGGGCAAGUCUGGUGCCAGCAGCCGCGGUAAUUCCAGCUCCAAUAGCGUAUAUUAAAGUUGUUGCAGUUAAAAAGCUCGUAGUUGAAUUUCGGGAUUAGUACGGUGGUCGUGCCUUCGGUACGUACUGGUGUUACUGAUUCCUACCUUCUGACGAACCAUCAUGUCAUUAAUUUGGUGUGGUGGGGAAUCAGGACUGUUACUUUGAAAAAAUUAGAGUGUUUAAAGCAGGCUCGCGCUUGAAUACAUUGGCAUGGAAUAAUGAAAUAGGACGUUGACCCUAUUUUGUUGGUUUCUAGGAUUGACGUAAUGAUUAAUAGGGAUAGUUGGGGGCAUUAGUAUUCAAUUGUCAGAGGUGAAAUUCUUGGAUUUAUUGAAGACUAACUACUGCGAAAGCAUUUGCCAAGGAUGUUUUCAUUAAUCAAGAACGAAAGUUAGGGGAUCGAAGACGGUCAGAUACCGUCGUAGUCUUAACCAUGAACUAUGCCGACUAGGGAUCGGAUGAUGUUAAUUUUUUAAUGACUCAUUCGGCGCCUUACGGGAAAC
rnacentral:rRNA from 1 species